ACCACCAUCACCUGCCUGAAUAUCACUGUUCCUACUCACCUUAUCAGCUUCCCUGCCUCAGCCCUCACCUGCCACAGCCUGUUCUCCACAUGCAGCCAGAGGGAGGCUGUGAAGACCUAAGUCCCCUCACGUCCCUCAUCUGCUCCAAUGCCACCGCCCAACCCCGUACCUGCCACAAAAUUCCAAGUCCUCACUGUGGCCUAGACAGACCUGCAGGAUCUGGCCCUGUCCCCUGUCUCCUCUCUCCUCCCUCCUCGCUCAAAUCCAGCCAAGCUGGCCUAAGGCAGGCAUGCUCCUGGCCCAGGGCCUUUGCACUGGUGGUUCUCUCAGCCUGGAAUGCCCUUCCCCCAGAUACCCACAUGGCUCAACCUGAUCUCAUUCAGGUCUUUGCUCAACUACACAAGGCAAAGCCUUCCCCAACCACCCUUUUUCAAGUUGCACCCCCCUCCCAGCACUCCCACUCAUCCCUGCUUUGCUCUCUCCCUCGCCACUCAUGACCUUCUUUAUAAACGACCUUGCCGUUUACUUUUCUUCUUUAUUGUCAGUUGUUCCUAUGAGGACGUCAGCUCUGGGAGGACCACGGCGGAGUCUUAACCACUGCGCCACCAGGGAAGUCCCGUGAGAGUGUAUCUCCAGUGUUCUCACCACAAAUAAAAAAGAGAGCUACUGUAUUUUAUUUUCACCAGCACACCACAGAUCCUGAGGCAAUGCAGAGGCAGAGAAAACCAGGGAGCAGGAGCCACUGGAUAGAAAAGACCAGAAGAGACAAGAGUCGCUGUGGCCCUGUCCAAAGGUUCUUAGAGUCCCUUGUAUCUAUUUCACAGACACUGAGUUGUCCUGGCGCCAGCCCAUGCGGCUGCUGAGCCUCAGAACUGAAGUGGCCUCAAUAGCCCAGAAGUUGCUAUUUCCUCCCUUCCUCCCCUCAGAGGCACAGCCAAGAUUGGUCAGAGUUUAUUGGAACCAUAAUAAGAGGAAUGUUCCAGACGUCUGGCAUC